UUUCUCCUUCAACAAUCUCAUCAUUGGAGCAAAUUAUUUCCGGUGUUCGAAUUCGUCCUGACAUCAAUUCAGACGUGUCACGUCACCAAAAUAUACUGGAAUCCAGUAUAUUCGAGUGACGUGACUCAUCUGAAUUGAGUGUUUGGACUUCCGGUGAUCGGACAUAAUAACUCUCCAGGCGGAGGUGCCUAUGGAUGUCGAUCAAUUGCUCUCCAUCGGGAGGAGUCAAUUGUGCAGGAUGUCGGUCAAUUUCUCUCCAGGCGGAGGUGUCUAUCCAAGUUCCGUCACUGUUGAUAUCCCAAUUACUAAUACACGAAAUAAUGGACAUCCCAAGGGUGGCGUUGGUGUUUCAAUUUCGGCUUACAGUAAAGAAGAAUUGGAGAAGGAUAACAUCAGUUCAAAUGUUCCAGUCAUUAGUGAAGGUGUUGGGGGAGGGGAGAAGGAUAAUUUGCCAGUGGAGAAGUCAAAUACAAAUUAUGGAAAGUCGGUAUCAUAAGUUAAACUGCAAAACUCAACAAGAUAGAACAACAACUCCAUCACCACCUUUUUCUUUAGAGUCUGCAGUAGUUUCCUCAGAAGUGAGCAAGUGUCCGUUGAUGAAUGGAUCAGUAGCCAAGCAAUCAAUUGUGUUAGAUGGCAGCCAUGACACCAAGAUUAGCAACAGAUUAGCAGAGAAGCCAAUAAGGAGGUUCACUCGAUCAGUCUUGAAGCUUAUGCCUGUUGCUGCAACUCCACCUAAAAUUGAGUAGGUAGAGAUCCCAGGGGAAGUAAAACCACUAAGGAGGUUCACAAGGUCAACCUUGAAGUCAGUGCUUCCUGUUGCUGCAACUUCUUCUUCAAUUGAGCAAGGCGCCCAAUGCAAAGUAAUACCCAUAGUUGAAGUUCCUCUUAUAGUUCAACAAGUAGACGUGAUGGAAAUCCCAAUAGUUGUUUACAACUGCGGUGGACUAGAUUUUGAAACUGGCCAGCUAGAGGAGUCAAUAAAAGGUGAACAUGAAGGUUAUGUAUCAGUAGCUAUACUUUCAAAAUUCGAUGUGGACAAUGGGACGCAUGAUGGUGCUCCAUUAGAGAAACCUAUAGUAACAUCUACAAGGAGGUUCACAAGGUCUUUAGUACUGCAGUUGAAGAAUCUGCAGUAGCAAAUGGUUAUACACUCAAUAGUGUUAUUUUUGUUGAAUCAGAGGAUUCAAAAGGGGAUAACGACGCACUUAAUGAGAGUCUAAGAGCAACGUCAAAAAGAAGAUGGAAUUGAAGAUGUCAAAGAAGAUAACAUUGACAAAGUUCCCAUCUAAUGUCAGAGACCUCCUAGGUACUGGGUUGCUCGAGGGAUUGCCUGUGAAGUACAUUUCAUGCCCGGGAGGUAUGAUGUAAUCUUAUGUUGGAUCUGAAACAAUUUGUUUUGCCAUUCACAAAUAGUAGUUUCCACCUUAAGGUCUUUGGCAUCACUAUAGCUUGACUGGGAUUGUUCAAUGUUGAGUUAUUGUGCAGAAUGUCGGGCUUUAGGGUAUAAUCACGGGAAAUGGAGUAUUAUGCUCCUGCGCCUCAUGCCAAGGAAAAAGAGUUGUUUCAGCUUAUAAAUUCGAGAUUCAUGCUAGUAGAACCAAAAUGAAUCCUUCAGAUUUCAUUUUCUUGAAAAAUGUCAAGAACCUUCGUGAAGUGUUGAAGUCAUGCACUGGCGCUUCGCUCAACAUGUUGGAAGCUGCAAUUCAGAAUGCCGUUGGUCCCUUGCCUUCUAUGAAACUUUCUCUCUGUCAAAAGUGCAAAGAGUUUUUUUGAUAUUGCACGAACUGGAAAUUUUGCUUUAUUAUGCAAUUCAUGUCUUGAAACAAGUCAUCAACAAGCAACUCCAACCCCAUCACAAGGGAUGAGUAGCUCAACUAAGU